rnacentral:rRNA from 1 species
CAGUAGCCGCGGUAAAACGUAGGGUGCGAGCGUUAAUCGGAAUUACUGGGCGUAAAGCGUGCGCAGGCGGUUUGAUAAGUCAGAUGUGAAAGCCCCGGGCUCAACCUGGGAACUGCGUUUGAAACUGUCAGGCUAGAGUGUGUCAGAGGGAGGUAGAAUUCCACGUGUAGCAGUGAAAUGCGUAGAGAUGUGGAGGAAUACCGAUGGCGAAGGCAGCCAUCUGGCCUAAUACUGACGCUGAGGUACGAAAGCAUGGGGAGCAAACAGGAUUAGAUACCCGUGUAGUCCCUGUCUCUUAUAC